AUUGAACGCUGGCGGCAGGCCUAACACAUGCAAGUCGAGCGGAAGAAGGGCGCUUGCUCCUGGCUUCAGCGGCGGACGGGUGAGUAAUGCCUAGGAAUCUGCCUGGUAGUGGGGGAUAACGUCGGGAAACGGGCUCUAAUACCGCAUACGUCCUGAGGGAAAAAGUGGGGGCGCUUCGGACCUCACGCUUUCAGCGGAGCCUAGGUCGGAUUAGGUAGUUGGUGGGGUAAAAGCCUACCAAGGCGACGAUCUGUCACUGGUCUGAGAGGAUGACCAGCCACACUGGGACUGAGACACGGCCCCGACUCCUACGGGAGGGAGCAGUGGGGAAUUUUGGACAAUGGGCGAAAGCCUGAUCCAGCAAUGCCGCGUGCAGGAUGAAGGCCUUCGGGUUUUAAACUGCUUUUGUACGGGACGAAAAGGCUCUGGCUAAUACCUGGGGCAUUUGACGGUACCGAAAGAAUAAGCACCGGCUAACUACGUG
rnacentral:rRNA from 1 species